UGGUAGCCCAUUUAUAGGCUUAAUGUGGAAUUUGUCUCGUUCUGUCAACAUCUCUGGAUUUUUGUCAUCUCUGGAGGCAUGCUUUCACAUGUUGGCCACAGUGAGUGGAGGAACUGCACAAGAGACCCACAAACACAGGUGGACAGCUCUGUGAGUUCAUGAGGCAGUCACUUCACAAGAACAUGUAAGCCGUCCCGACUGCCUUCCAACAUCCAUACAGCACAUGUCUGUGUGCAGCGCAGCUUUAAAUUGGCGUGGGAUUUAAAGGUGCAAGUCUGUGGAAGUUUUACUUUUGAGGUUAUUACUGUGGCUAUGUUGCAGCACUCUGAUUGCACCUAUCUGUCUGCGCUGUUAUGCUGACAGCGCUAACAAAGCACGCCCGGCUACCAGGCUGGAACACCCCUUGUAAACACGGCCUUGCCACACGCUGAGCUGGGAGGUGCAGGCCAGUGUCCUGAAUCACACCUACACAAGCUUUCUCCAACAGCGGGUAUCGAUCUAGUUUUACUUGAAAAGAAAGUUCAGGAAACAAACAAUACCUUCAGAAACAUAUGGCUGAGGUGAGAAUAAUA
rnacentral:lncRNA from 1 species